CAUGGAGCCUCCCUGUUGGAAACUUGCAGUAGUGACAGUGCCAAAACUGGAGAGAUGAUUCAGUCAAUGCAAGUAUACAGUAGCACAGCAAAACUCUGCGAGUUUUGCGCCCAUGAAUAUGAGAAGUCCAAAGACAUGGCUGCUGCUGCCCUGGCCUAUAAAUGCAUGGAGGUGGCAUACAUGAGGGUCAUUUAUUCUUCACAUAACAAUGCAAAUAAAGAUCGACGAACAGCUCUGCAAAUGGUUCCUCCAGGCGAGUCACCUUCUUCUUCUGCAUCUGAUGUUGAUAA
rnacentral:misc_RNA from 1 species